CCUCCUCCGUCAUCUACAUCCUCCUCCAUCCUCCUCCAUCCUCCUCCAUCCUCCUCCAUCCUCCUCCAUCCUCCUCCAUCCUCCUCCAUCCUCCUCUAUCCUCCUCCAUCAUCUACAUCCUCCUCCAUCCUCCUCCAUCCUCUUCCAUCCUACUUCAUUCUCCUCCAUCCCCUCCAUCCUCUUCCACCCUCCUCCUUCAUCUCCCAUCCCCCAUCCUCCUCCAUCCUCUUCCAUCCUCCUCCUUCAUCUCCCAUCCCCCCAUCCUCCUCCAUCC
rnacentral:lncRNA from 1 species